ensembl:lncRNA
GGGAAAGAGGGGGAGUGGCCCAGCGAGGCCGGUAGCUGCAAGGAGGUGGCGAAGGACCCUCCUUCUCUGGGGUCCUAGCUCCGCGGAGCUGGGAGCCUGGCUCGCUUUAACCCUUUGCAUUCCAAGACCCUCCUCCUUCACCAAAACGCGCCCAUGUAACGUACCUUGUUCAGCUCUUGGUCAUAAAGUUGUCCUCAGCCUGUCUGUGUGGUCCCGGAGGGUCGGUGGCGGGCAGUUUCCAAAAUUGAGUCCCCCCUCCCCGGAUACCGGAAAGUCUCUUCUCUUUUUCGUAUCAAAAAAAGCCCGGUGAAGACUCUGCAGAACCCAGGAAGCGCAGAAUCGGGAGAAAGUCUUUGGCUGGGGCUGGUUCAAGACCCUGCUUCAAUGGGCUGCUGGAAGCCAGGACUGGGGUUCCUCUGAGGUUGGACUUCUUUCGCGCUCGAUAGGCCUUGAAAACUGGGUUCCUGCUCCUUAUUACAUAUCUGGGACAAUAAUGAACAGGUCAAAACAGAAAAGUCGAGUAAACUGGGAGCGAUGCUUUUCAACACGUCGCGCAGGGUGUAGUGUUGGGGGAUGUGAUUUGAGGGCAAGAAUUUUAUUGCAAUACUAGGUAGUCAGCCAGCCCGGUCCCCGGGGGCCGACCUGCAAAGUACUACGCGUUUCCGCCCCCCGACCCCCCCACAGCGGUUACACCUCUGGGAAGCAUUACCUUGCCUGAUGACUUCACACUGCUCGGGGAAACCCACUUACUAAUUCUCCCCUACAAACCUUCAGGGCUUCAGCCUUUGUUUGAACCCUGCCUUAGGUGGUUCAACUCUUGAGAAACUGGCUUAAGUUUCAGAGCACAAUUUCAUCCACUUAAUCAGACUCCUGCUUCUUGAUUUUUAGUUGUACGGUAGUUUUUAAAUGCUAACCUGUAAUUUAAAAUAUAUUGUCUAACUGAUGUACUCUUACAUAUAAUGUGGAUUAAACUGAUUUAGGGGGAGGGUGGACAUCAUGGAGUGUCAAGUGUCUGGCUGUGGGACCCCACAGGGGCACUUAACAUCCACUCUAAACUUCCAUGAAUAUUAUAUGUAAUGCAGGCUUGCUGAUUAUUGCUUAGUAGUGCUUAACUGUUCCUGUGCUAAUGGUUCAAGCAGUGAAAACAUUUAGUAAAACUGUGUUUCUUUAUUAAUCAAAAACACAUUUGUUGUUUGUUCCCUUGAACUUGUAAUUCAUGGCCCAUAAAGCAAAAGCAAAAUAUUUCCUCACUGCGGAUGAAUGUAAAAGCUAAUUACAUAUCCGUGCAUUUCUGUCAGUUUCUCCCCCAUCCCCCAAGAGAAUGGGAAAGAGGCUAGAGGUGAAAGUUUACAUUUAAAUUCAGGGGUGAAGCAGAAUACUGUAUCAAUCAGAUUUUCUUAGGCAGGGCAUCCAGAAUAAGAGAUUGAAUAAAUUCAAAUCCCACCUUUGAUGAGGGAUUGUUUGUGUGUUCCUGGAAGCAUAUUUUACCUCUCUAGACCUUUAUUUCCUAGUUGAUAAAUGGAGAAAAUACCUGCUUUACAAAGUUGUUAUGAUGAUAGAACGUGUGAAACUAUGUUAGGAGAUUAGUAGAGUGCCUAAGCUCUACUCUUAGGUAGAGCUUCCUAAUGUAACUUAGCGUUUCCUAAUUUAACCAUUGUCGCUAUUCAAAAACAUUAGUACCCUUCUCCUGGUUUUCUAUUUGUUAUAUUAUUCUUGAUAGGCAUUAACUGGAGUUUCAUCCUGGGCUCAUUUGUUUGACCUACUUCAGCUUCCUACUGUCCCCUCACUGUCUCUCAUAGAUUGAAUUAUUCUAUGUGCCCAUGAAUACACCCCAAACCUUUACGUUUAACCAAAAUUCCUUUCUGGAUUCCAGGCCUGAAUUACGGCUACUAGCCAUCUAGUAUUGAUUAAUAAGCAUCAUAUUUGGAGACGGGAGAUUCAGUUUCACCAACAAGCUAUAGCUUGUUUCAACCAAUUGAAUAACAUACGAUUGUCAAUUUCAAUUUUACCUUUCUAUUUUAAACAUAAGCUGUUUGGAUCAGAAGAUGACAGAUGUUUCAGGUUUUGACAUCCUAAGACAUACUUCUCCAACCUACGCUUGUUAUGGUUUCAACUAUCCAAGACAACAUAGCGAAGAACUUCAGAGGUAGGAGCUUGACCUGAGUCAACGUGAGUCUGCAGCAUGCUCUUGCUAACCUCCUUCCCACAACACAGAACAAGUGUUCACCUGUCUGAGAGACCAAGUUUCCAGAAGAAGGAUUCAGUACCUUCAUACUUCUCUGUGUAAAUGGUUCUCAAACUUUUUGGUGUGAAGUCCCUCUAUACGCUCUUAAAAAUUGUUGAGGACUUCAAAAAACGUGUUUAUAUGGGUUAUAUCUAUCAAUAGACCAUAUUAGAAAUAAAAGCUGACCAAAAAAGUUUUAGAAUAUUUAUUAAUUAAUUUAAAAUAAUAAUAAACGCAAGGACUUGUCACCAUUUUUGUGAAAUGUGGCAUUGUUUUCCAUUUUUGCAAAUCUCCACUAUCUGGCUUAAUAUAAGACAGUUGGAUUCUCAUAGCUGCUUCAUCAUUCUAUUGUUUUGAUUGAAGUAUAUAAAGAAAAUCUGGCUUCAAACAGAUACAUAAUUGGGAAAUAGAGAAGUAUUUUAAUAGUCUUUUUAGAUAGUCUUCUGUGAUACUAUGUCAAAACUUGACAAAUAAUAGUUUUUUUAAACUUAAGUUGUAAUGGUGGAUCUAAAACAAUAGGAAUGAGCUUUUUGUACUCUGUUACUUAAAAUCUCUUUAUCUUAUACUUUAAAUGCAUCUUUUACAACCAUUCAUGCAUUUUAAUGUCCUGUAUCAUUUGUAUUGAUUACUAAGUUAGGCAGAUUUUCCGAAUGUUGAUAUAUUUCAUUAAAAAAACUCACAAUCAUUAAAAUCACCACCAGUCUCAUCCAAAGAGUCUUCAAAUAUUGAGAAGCUGUCACGGUCAUGGUGGCAAAUAAAGUUUUCCAAAA